UAUGGUGGCCAUAAAGCGGUGGCCCGACCCGAUCCCAUCCCGAACUCGGCCGUCAAACACCGCAUUGCCGAUGGUAGUGCUUGUAUAGCUUGCGCGAGAGUAGGUAGCCGCCAAAC
rnacentral:rRNA from 2 species